AUCAAAUAACAUAAAAUAGUCAUCAUAGAUAUUUGCAGGAGAUGUUCACCCAGUUUCACCACUAGGGGUUGUUCCCUAGGGGGGCUUCUAGUUUUCAAGUCAGGCUGCGCCAUUUUGUAGUGGAUCCUGCUCACAAAAUGGUGGUAGGCGACCGAUUAACCCUUUGAGGACCAGGGAGGCACCAGGGUCCAGAACAGGAGCAGAAGCACCAGCAGUGAUUCUGCCACUCACUCACCAACGUGGAAGUAUGGAAACAAACUAGAGGCGUACGUGAACCCCGAUGAGGACUUCACCCCUGCGCACAGAGGCUGUCGAGCACACACCGCAGAGCCAGAACACCAGGGAGGUAGGACCGACUGCAGCAGGCAGCAAGGAGCACCAGUGGCAGACCGGAAGCAGUCGUGGACGAUUCGCGCCAUAGAGCGAAGAGGGGAGGGCUCUCCCCGACUCCCUGCACGUUGUUAUUGGUCCUACUUAGAACCACGCACACAUUUGCGGCACAUUGUCUGAAAAAUCCGCAAAGAAAAAGGAAAUGGAGGAUGGUCGUGCUCUAGCAGGGAUAUUCGAGUCAAGGGCGGGCUCUAGUAGUCUUGAGUCACGCUGAGAACGAUGUCCAGUUGACUUGACGACCCCCCCCCCCCUUGCUCCUUACUAGUCUCCUCGCGGCAUUAUUGAUAACAGCCAAGCCAUUAUUAAGGAAGAAGUCGGCCUUUUGAGUCGGAAGGGAAAAGGGCACGUAAAACAAUGACAACUUCGAGACGCGAGACAACGAUGGUCUCGAUGACGAGACGGAGUAUUUGAACGGGCUACCAGAAAUGACGUUGCAAUUGACAAGCACAGCGCGCGGCACUCUAUACACAAUGGCGAGCAACGUGUUGGAAUAUGAGGAGGAGCAGGAUUUCGACGUACAGCAGCACCCAACUGAACUUGGCAUCGUCAAACCUUACAUGUUUGAGCCGCUCAGGAGGUUGGAACCUGACAGUGACGACGACGAGCAUCCAAGUAGCAGCUGUACAACAGAAAAAGAGAGUGGCCGCUGGGUCGAUAUGACGGUGAGGUAUACCUAUGAUGAAAAUUACAGGCCUCUCAUCUUUUAAGUGGGAGAACUUGCACAAUUGUUGGCUGACUAAAUACAGUAGAACAGUGGUGAACCUUCCCAGGAGUGGCUGACCAAAAUUACCCUAAGAGUGCAGCAACGACUCAUCCAAGAGGUCACAAAUGACCCCAUAAUAACGUCUAUACAACUGCAGGCCUCACUUGGCUCAGUUAAGGUCAGUGUUCAUGACUCCAUCAUAAGAAAGCGACUGGGCAAAAUUUGCCUGAUGGAAGAGUUCCAAGAUGAAAACUACUGCUGAGCGAAAAGAACAUCACGGCUCGUCUCAAUUUUGCCAGAUGGCCUUGAUGAUCCCCAAGACUUUUGGGGAAAAUACUCUGUUUGAUAAGACAAAAAUGUGACUUUUUGGGAGCUGUGUGUCCCAUUACAGCUGAUAUAAAAGAAACACCUCAGUUCAGAAAAAGAACAUAAUACCAACAAUAAAAUAUGGUGAUGGUAGUAUGACGAUCUGGGGCUCCUUUUCUACUUCAGGACCUGGAAGACUUGCUUUGAUAACAACAAUUCUGCAAAGAUGAGUUGGCCAAAAAUCCUCCACAGCGCUGUAAGAGAUUCAUUGCAAGUUAUCGCAAAAGCUUGAUUGCAGUUGUUACUGCCAAGGGACAGACCAGAGAAUCUUAUUUCUUACCAUCUUGGAGUCCUUCAGGUGUUUUUAGCAAACUCCAUGCGGGCUUUCAUGUGUCUUGCACUGAGCAGAGGCUUCAGUCAGGCCACGCUGCCAUAAAGCCCUGACUGGUGUAGUGCUGCAGUGAUGGUUGACGUUCUAGAACUUUCUCCAAUCUCCCGACUGCAUCGCUGGAGCUCAGCCACAGUGAUCUUUAGGUUCUUCUUUACCUCUCUCACCAAGGCUCUUCUCCCCCGAUUGCUCAGUUUGGCCGGACGGCCAGCUCUAGGAAGGGUUCUGGCCUUCCCAAAUGUCUUCCAUUUAAGGAUUCUGGAUUCCAUUCUUCUCUUAGGAACCUUAAGUGCAGCAGAAAGUUUUUUUGUAACUAUGGCCAGAUCUGUCCAUUGCCACAAUUCUGUCUCUGAGCUCUUCAGGCAGUUCCUUUGACCUCAUGAUUCUCAUUUGCUCUUACAUGCACUGUAUGCUAUAAGGUCUUAUAUAGACAGGUGUCUUUCCUAAUCAAGUCCAAUCAGUAUAAUCAAACACAGCUGGACUCCAAUGAAGUUGUAGAACCCUCUCAAGGAUCAUCAGAAGAAAUGGACAGCACCAGAGUUACAUGGUGGCAGAAUUCACUGACUUCCCAGAUUUAGAGACCCAAAAGCAUUUGGACACAUCAGCAUGGUGGUGGCACCAUCAUGCUGUGGGGCUGUUUUUCUGCUGCAGGAACUGGGCGACUAGUCCGCAUCGAGUGCCAGAUGACAGCUGCCAAAUAGAGAAAUUCUUCGAGAACUUGCUCCAGUGCGCUCUGGAACUCAGACGACGAUGUUGAUUCACCUUCCAACUCGACAAUGACCCAAAGCACACAGCCAAGACAACAAAGGAGUGGCUUUAGGAGCAGCCUGUGAAUGUCCUUGAGUGGCCCAGCCAGACUUGAAAGACCUAAAAAUGGGAGAAAAGGCCCCAAAACAGGUGUGCCAAGCUCAUAGAGACGUACCCAAGAAGACUUGAGGCUAUGAUUGUUGCCAAAGGUGCUUGAGCAAAAUAUUAAGCCAAGGGUGUGAAUACUUAUGUACCCAUUAUGUUUCUAUGUUUACAUUUUCAAUAAAUUUGCACAACUCUCUGAAAAUGUUUUUACUCUGUUAUUAUGGAAUAUUUUAUGUACAAAAAGUGAAGGGUUGUGAUUACUUUCUGGUGGCACUCUACAGCUCUUUUGGAGUAUGUCUCUUAGUAGCUUUGCAUAUCCAGACACUAAAAUUUCUGCCCAUUUUUCUGCCCUGAACAACCAUUUUCAAGUAGUCAAAGAUGCUCAGUGGGAUUUAGGUCUGGACUUUGACUGUGCCAUUGUAACACAUGAAUGUUCUUUGAUGUAAACAAUUUCAUUGUAGUGCUGGCUUUUUGUUCAGGGUCAGGCUGGAAGAUGACUCUCCUUCCCAGUUUGUCUUUUGUGGCCUCCAACAUUGCCCUUUAUUUAGCGUUAUCCAUCUUUCUAUUAACUCUGACCAGCUUCUCUCUCCCUGCUGAAGAAUCCCCCACAGCAUUAUGUUGUCUCCACCAUUUUUCACGGUGGGAAUGGUGUGUGCUCAGGGUGAUGAGGAAUGGUAGUUUUCCACCACACACAGCACAUUACAUUUAGGCCCAAAAAAAAUCAGCUUUGGUCUUAUCUGAUCAAGGAACCUUCUUCCACAUUUGGGGUGUCCCCUUACAUGGGUUGUGGACAACUACAAAUGGGACUUUUUAAUGCCUUUCUUUUAUCAAUGACUUGCUUCUUGCCACUCUUCCAUAAAGGCCAGAUUUGUGGAGUGUGCGACUUGUAGUUGUCCUGUGGACAGAUUCUCCCAUCUGAGCUGUGGAUUUCUGCAGCUCCUCCAGAGUGACCAAGGGCCUCUAGACUGCAUCUGUGACCAAUGCCCUCCUUGCAUGAUCUUUCCGUUUAGGUGGAUGGCCAUGUCUUGGGUAGGUUUGCAGUUGUUAUACUUUUUCCAUUUAUUUGGAUGGUAGAUUGAACAGUGCUCCUUGAGACAUUCAAAGCUUGGGAUAUUUAUUUUAAUCUGUUAAUCUUGUCUGUUGUUGACCAAUACUGGCCACUCAUGCCAGAGUAGCAUCUGCUCCAUUUGCACACUGACUGAGGAGUAUCUGCAACAUUUGCACAAUCAACAUUGUCCCAGAUUAUCGCACUACUCUCUUGAAGUCUCGGCCCCCUUAGCACAAUGGUCAUUGCACCGGACUAUUCCAAUAUUAGUCAUCCGAACUGCUCUAAGUGCCAGAGGACUCUGCAUCUUUUUGUACAAUUGUCAAAAAAAUAAUAAUAAUAAAUAUACCGGCAUUACCAGAUAACUAACAAGCCUUUAUUGCUCAGUGACUUUUUUGUUGUUGUUUUUGUCAAUGUCUUUGUCUCAAAAGUCGUACUAGAGUGGCUCCAAUUACCAGAGACAAAUUCCUUGUGUGUUUUUUGGACAUACUUGGCAAAUAAAGAUGAUUCUGAUUCUGAUUACCUAACCCUACUUAAAACUUCUCCACAGCUUUAUCCCUGACCUGUCUGGAAAGUUCCUUGGUCUUCAUGAUGCUGUUGUUCACGAGCGUUCUCACAAAAAAAUCUCUAAGGCAUUCAAAGAACAGUAUCCAUAUUGAGAGUAAAUUACAAAGAGGUGGGCUCUAUUUAUUUACUUCGGUGACUUCUGAAGACCGUGCCCCACUUCAGAUUUAUAGUCGCUUAAAAUUCUGAAAGACUUUCAAUUUUCACUCCUCUUCACAAUUAUCUAUUACUUUGUGUUGGUCAAUCACACAAAAUCUCAAGUUAGUAACAUUCAAGUUAGUAAUAGUAAGGUCACAGUUUGAAAGUUCAAGGGGUAUGAAUACUUUUUCAGGGCACUAUCAAUAUUGCAGUGGCCCCUGGGUUCCUCAGGGUGCAAGACAAUAUCAUGUAAAUACAUAAAUAGAAUUCUAAUUUUAUGUACAGUGGCUGAAAUAAGUAUUUAAACAGUCACCAUUUUUUCUCAAAUAUAUUUCCCAAGGUGCUAUUGACAUGAAAAAUUCACUAGAUGUUGGGAACAACCCAAGUAAUCCAUACAUACAAAAAAAGUAGAACAAAUAAGAUCAGAAAUUAAGUUGUGUGUUAUCAUGUGAAAUGACACAGGGGAAAAGUAUUGAACACACCAACUGGUAUUUAUUUAAUUGUACAAAAGCCUUUGUUUGCAAUGACCGCUUCAAGACACCUCCUCUUUGGAGAAACUAGGCGCAUGCAUUGCUCUGGUGUGAUUUUGCCCCAUUCCUCCACACAAGCCAGUCUUCAAAUCUUGUAGGUUCCGUGGGCUUCUUUUAUGGACCUUGAGUUUCAGUUCUUUCCAUAGAUUUUCAAUUGGAUUCAAGUCAGGUGAUGGCUGGGCCAUCCGAGGAGCUUUAUUUUUUCGUUUGAAACAAAUUGAGAGUUUCCUUGGCAGUAUGUUUUGGAUCAUUAUCCUGCUGAAAGAUUUUAGGUGUUGUCUUGGCUUUCCGAUGGCCUUUUGCACCUCCCUUUCUUAGUAUUAAAUGUUUUUUCCCUGUGUCAUUUCACAUUUUUGUGCGUAUUUGUUCUACUUUCUUUUAAUGUAUGGAUUACUUGGGUUGUUACCAACAUCUUAAAUUUUCAGGUCAAGAGCACCUUUGGAAGUAUAUUUAGCGAGAAAAAUAGUGACGUUAAAUACUUAUUUCAGCCGGUGUAUCUUGGAUAGCCAAUGCGCUGCAAGGGCUGGCGUCUGGUUACCAUAAUGAAUAGUAUUAACAAUUGUGGUGGCUAACUUGACUUCGACUUGAGGCUGACCUGACAACAGUGAAAAAUGCCAGGAGUCAACCUAGAGGGAAAUCAAAACUGUCGAGUUCUUUGCAGUUCAGGACCACAAGAAACCUAUGGUCAAGCACAACAAUGGAGCUGUUCCUGUCCUUGACAUCCUUGGGGAUUUCCUAAAUGAACUGAAGCCUGUUAUGGUUUAGUUUGGUUUAUGUAUAAACUGUAUUUGCGUCCAUUGAAUUGCACUUCAUAAUUGCACUCUGUAAUAGCAUGUUUAUUCAGUUGACCCUUGGAACAUUUUAAAUCCUUUUUUUUUUAAAUCAUAUUUUUUUCUGGAAUUUAUUUUUAGUUUCAUUUUUCACCGGAAACUUUACGUAUUGUUUGCUGAAAAAAUAAUAACUACAAUAAUAAUAAUAAUAAUACAUUUUGGAGGCACGGUGGACAACUGGUUUGCACAUCUGCCUCACACCUCUGAGGACCAGCGUUUAAAAAUCUGGCCUUGCCUGUGUGGACUUUGCAUGGUCUCGCCGUGCCUGCAUGGGUUUUCUCCAAUUACCUCCCACAUCCCAAAAACAUGCAUGGUAGGUUAAUUGAAGACUCUAAAUUGUCCGUAGGUGUGAAUGUGUGUGCAAAUGGUGGUUUGUUUAUGUGUGCCCUGCGAUUGGCUGGCGACCAGUUCAGAGUCAGGUGGGAUAGGCUCCAGCACAUUUGCAACCUUAGUGAGGAUAAGCGGUUCGGAAAAUGAAUUAAUGAAUUUAUGAAUGAAUAAGACAUUUUAUUCAUACGGUGCCUUACAAGCCAAUCAAGGUCGCUGUACAGGAUUUAAAACACAGUUGAAACACAAUCAAAUAUACAGCAAACUAAUAUAUACAGUGGAGCAAAAAAGUAUUUAGUCAGCCACCAAUUGUUCUCCCACCUAAAAAGAUGAGAGAGGUGUGUAAUUUUUAUUAUAGGUAUACCUCACCUAUGACAGAAAAAAAAUCUAGAAAAUCACUUUUUUUUCUCCUUUUUUUGUUAAAUAAUUUAUUAGCAAAUUAUGGCGGAAAAUAAGUAUUUGGUCACCUGUAAACAAACAAGAUUUCUGACUCUCACAGAACAGUAACUUCAUCUUUAAGAGGCUCCUCUGUCCUCCUGUAUUAAUGGCACCAGUUUGAACUCGUUACCAGUAUAAAAGACACCUGACCACAAUCUCAAACAGUCACACUUCAAACUCCACUAUGGCCAAGACCAAAGAGCUGUCAAAGGACACCAGAAACACAAUUGUAGACCUGCACCAGCCUGGGAAGACUGAAUCAGCUGCUUGGUGUGAAUAAAUCAACUGUGGGAGCAGUUAUUAGAAAAUUGAAGACAUUAAAGACCACAGAUAAUCUCCCUUGAUCUGGGGCUUCAUGCAAGAUCUCAGCCGUGGGGUGAAAAUGAUCACAAGAACGGUGAGCAAAAAUCCCAGACUCACACAGAGGGGACCUAGUGGAUGACUUGUAGAGAGCUGGGACCAAAGUAACAAAGGCUACCAUCAGUAACACUACGCCGCCAGGGACUCAAAUCCUGCAGUGCCAGACGUGCUUAAGUCAGUACAUGUCCAGGCCCGUCUGAAGUUUGCUAGGGAGCAUUGGGAUGAUCCAGAAGAGGAUUGGGAGCAUGUCAUAUAGUCAGAUUAAACCGAAAUAGAACUCUUUGGUAAAAGCUCAAAUUGUCAUGUUUGGAGGAGAAAGAAUGCUGAGUUGCAUCCAAAGAACACCAUACCUACUGCUUUGGGGCUGUUUUUCUGCAAAGGGACCAGGACGACUGAUCCGUGUAAAGGAAAGAAUGAAUGGGCCAUGUAUCGUGAGAUUUUGAGUGAAAACCUCCUGCCAUCAGCAAGGGCAUUGAAUAUGAGACAUGGCAUUGGUCUUUCAGCAUGACAAUGAUCCCAAACACACCGCCCGGGCAACGAAGGAGUGGCUUCGUAAGAAGCAUUUCAAGGUCCUGGAGUAUCCUAGCCAGUCUCUAGAUCUCAACGUCAUAGAAAAUCUUUGGAGGGAGUUGAAAGUCUGUGUUGCCCAGCGACAGCCCCAAAACAUCAGUGUUCUAGAGGAGAUCUGCAUGGAGGAAUGGGCCAAAAUACCAGCAACAGUGUGGGAAAACCUUAUGAAGACUUACAGAAAACGUUUGACCUGUGUCAUUGCCAACAAAGGGUAUAUAACAGGAUUGAGAUGAACUUUUGAUAUUGCCCAAAUACUUAUUUUCCACCAUAAUCUGCUCAUAAAUUCUUUAAAAAUCAAACUGUGAUUUUCUGGAUUUUUAUUUUACUUUGUCUCUCAUAUGUGAGGUAUACCUAUGAUGAAAAUUACAAGCCUCUCUCCUGUUUUUAAGUGGGAGAACUUGCACAAUUGGUGGCCAACUAAAUACUUUUUUGCCCCACUGUAGUUUUAAAAUUAAUCUGCAGGAGACCACCAACCAUCAGGAUAACAAUAGCAGGAAAUUAAAGUGGGAACAACAAUCAGAGUGAAUAUGCCUGUAAAUCUUUUUAAGUGAAAUUUAAAAUUAGAUAAGGAGUCCAUGUUCCUGAUGUCGGGCAUGAGGGAGUUCCAAAGCUGAGGAGCAGAACUGCUGAAAGCUCUGGAUUCCAUGGCAGACAGAUGGGUUGGAGGGACGAUGAAGGCUGAUGGACGAGACAGACAGGAGAGUCAGUCCGUGUGCCAUUUUUGAUAUGGAGGAGGUUAGAGCCACAUGAUGGAGCGAGGUUAUGUAUGGCCUUAAAUGUGUAGAGAAGAAUCUUAUUCUCAUUGCGUUGUUUGUUUAGCCAGUGGAGUUGUUGAAGAAUGGGUGAGAUAUGAUUAGAGGAUGUUGUGCUAGUAAUGACGUGGGCGGCAGCAUUCUGGACCAGUUGGACUUUAUGGAUGCGCUUUAGGAAAGGAUAUACAAUAGUCCAAACUGAAUGUAACCAGUGUAUGGACCAGUAUUGUGGCACUGUUUGGGUUAAGUGAUGGGUGGAGGCAUCUGAUACUGUGGCAAUGGAAGUCGGUAGGCCGGGUAAUGUUACUGAUGUGGAUUUAGAAUGACAGGGUACUGUCAAGGAUGACACCCAGGGGAAGGGGAAACACACGUGUUUUCAAUGUUAAGGGUAAAACUAUGAUGUUUGGUGAGAAUUGUGUUUGAGCUGGUGAGCACAAUCUCAGUUUUGUUUCUGUUGAAUAUUAGGAAAUUAGAGGGGAACCAGGAUUUGAUUUCCAGGAGACAGGCACAGAGGGAUGAGGAUGGGGAGGUGGAAGUGGAUUUGGAUGAAAGGUAGAGCUCUGUGUCAUCCACUUAACAGUGGAAGCGGAUGUUGUAUUUCCAGAAUAUAUGGCGAAUGGGACCAAGGACUCAGCCCUGGGGAACACCAGAGCAGAGGGGAGAUGGUUGGGAUGAGAAAUUCUUCAGCUGAAUGAACUGAGUACAGCCAGAAAUACCAGAUUUGACCCAAUCUAGCGGAGUUUCAGAUAAACCAAUUGAGGUCAGUCUGUUGAGGAUGGUGUGGGAAAAUGCUGUCAACGGUAUCAACUCAAGUCGAGAAGGAUGAGGAUGGAUAAUGGUCUGGAAUCAGCUGCUUUCAGGUCAUUUGUGAUAUUUAAAAGGGCUGUCUCUGCCGUACUGAAAUUGCUCAAAGUUUAUUUUAGAGAGAAAUGGAAAGUUGGAGAUAGGGCAAAGGUUAUUGAAGUUGUAGGGGUCUGAGGCAUGUUUUUGGAGUAUUGGUGUUACUGCAGCAGACUUGAGAGAUGAUGGAACAGACCCUCUGGUAAGUGAGGAAUGAAUGAUGGAAGUUAUCAGAGGUAACAGAGAGGGAAGGCAUGCUAUGACCACAGAAGACACCAGGGUUUCAGGUUGCCAGGUAGAUGGCUUAGGUUUCUGGAUGACUUCUGAUUAAGUCUGCAACAGAGGGAAGUUUGAAACAAGAGCGUGGUUCAGGAGGGGGAACAUGGAGAACUGGGGAAGAACAACAACUGGAAAAGUGGGUUGUCAAUUGUUGAUGGAUAUUGUCAAUUUUUUUUUUUUUUUUUUUUUUUAAGUUAUGAGAGAAUUGCAUUGAGCAGGGGAGUAGAAAUUUGGGGAAGGGAGUCUGGAGUGUGCAGAGAAUUAUUGAUCAGUGUGAACAGGGCCUGAGUGUUCCCUUGACUAGCAAUGAUCAAUUUGACACAGUAUUGGCAUUUGACUGAGCAGAAGGUUCUCUUUGUACAAUAGAAUAUGGGUGGGCAUGAUACAUUUGUUUGUGAAAAGGAAGUCUGAUUUUAUUUUAUUUAUUUUUGUUUUUUAUUGUUAUUAUUAUUUGAAAAGCCGCUCCAGCUGGCGUUCUUUAGCUUUAAGUUGAUGUAGCUGAGGUAAAAACUAGGGUGGAGAGUCGGAAAAUGAUACAGUCCGGUUUUUUAAAGGAGCAAGUUGGUUUAGAAGUGUAGAGACAGUCAUUGUAAAAAUAAACUAGUUGAUUAGGGGAACGUGUGGCUAAUGCUGUGGGAGUUGCUAAAUUGUUUUUGAUGUUGCAAAAUAAUAUAAGACUUGGCUGUUUAAUUAUGGAUAGUGUCAAGUUCACUUUGAGUGAAACAAGUAUGUGAUCGCAGAUGGAAAGAUCAGCAGCAGAACAGUUAAUAGGAAUGACACCAGAGCCAAGAUGUGACCUUUGGAGUGUGUAGGAAAGUCAAUGUGCUGUUGUAGUCCAAAGCAAUCCAGGAACAAGGUCAAGUACCAAGAGUUAAGUUAAAUUGGAAGCGAGUGAGCUGAUAUGGGUGAGAAAAGCAGUGAAAUUCAUUAUUAAAAUCCUGACGUUUGCGUGGGCAGUAAAUGGUAGCUAGAAUAGUUGAAGUACGACCAUUUAUUUGGAGAGCAUCUGGUUCAAAGGAAUGACACACUGGCGUUGUAACUGGAGAGACUUUCCAGGUCUCAUGGUAAAUGAUUGCGACACCUCCUCUGCCAUUGAGACCAAAAUGACGGAUGUAAACAAACUCAGGAUUCGUCCACCUGUGAAAAUUAAUUCGGUUGCCGCCACGUCUUUGUUGAACAAAAAGUCAUACAUACGGUCAAGGACCCUUUCCCGAUCUGGCUACACUAGCUAAUAGUGCAAUACAAAUAGAUGUUUUCCCCAACAUCCGGAAUAAUCGUGAUUAAUAAUGAUGAUUAUAAUAUUGAUCAAAAUAAUGAGGAUUAUCAUUUUGGCUAUAAUCAUGCAGCCUUAACGCCCUGUUUAGGUACUUUCAUUGAUGUGCUGUAUUUUCUCCACUUGAUGAUGACUGUGUUCCAUCGUUAGAAAUUAUUUUGUACCAUCAAAGGUAUCAGUUAGCAGAACAAUGAGAUCCCUCUGAUGCUGUGGAAGCUUUUUGAAGGCUUUUGUCAUUUGUAUACUGACUCCCAUUUAACAUGAGUUUGCGUAUGAUUGGUUAAUUCUGAACACAACCACAUCCCUAGUAUGAGGGUGUGCACACUUCAUUUAACCACAUUAUCUCAGUUGUUUAUUCUUACUUCUACAGGUUAUACUCUAGGUCACAUUAAUUAUAGGAAUACGUUUUUAAAUGAUUGAGCUUGGUCUCAGAUUUUAUAUCACAAAAACCUGGCAUUUGAACAGCGGUGUGUAGACUUUAUAACCACUGUACAGGGGCUGGUCAUAUACAACCCCACUUCCAAUGAAACUGGGAAGUUGUGUUACAAAUAAAUAAAAAUAGAAUAAAAUGAUUUGCAAAUCAUGUUCAACCUAUAUGUAAUUGAAUACACUACAAAGACAAUAUAUUUAAUGUUCAAGCUGAUAAAUUUUAUUGUUUUUAGCAAAUAAUCAUUAACUUAGAAUUUUAUGGGUACAACACGUUCCAAAAAAGCUGGGACAGGUGGCAAAAAAGACUGAUAA